rnacentral:rRNA from 1 species
UACGUAGGUGGCGAGCGUUAUCCGGAAUUAUUGGGCGUAAAGAGCGCGCAGGUGGUUGAUUAAGUCUGAUGUGAAAGCCCACGGCUUAACCGUGGAGGGUCAUUGGAAACUGGUCGACUUGAGUGCAGAAGAGGGAAGUGGAAUUCCAUGUGUAGCGGUGAAAUGCGUAGAGAUUGGGAGGAACACCAGUGGCGAAGGCGGCUUUCUGGACGAUAACUGACGCUGAGGCGCGAAAGCGUGGGUAGCAAACAGGAUUAGAUACCCCGGUAGU